rnacentral:rRNA from 1 species
GACAGAGGGUGCAAACGUUGUCCGGAAUUACUGGGCGUAAAGAGCUCGUAGGUGGUUUGUCGCGUUGUUCGUGAAAACUCACAGCUUAACUGUGGGCGUGCGGGCGAUACGGGCAGACUGGAGUACUGCAGGGGAGACUGGAAUUCCUGGUGUAGCGGUGGAAUGCGCAGAUAUCAGGAGGAACACCGGUGGCGAAGGCGGGUCUCUGGGCAGUAACUGACGCUGAGGAGCGAAAGCGUGGGGAGCGAACAGG